rnacentral:rRNA from 1 species
CGGACGGGUGAGUAACGCGUGGGCAACCUGCCCCAUGCCGGGGGAUACCGCCUGGAAACAGGCGCUAAUACCGCAUAAGCGCAUACAGCCGCAUGGCAGUAUGCGGAAAGCUCCGGCGGCAUGGGAUGGGCCCGCGCCCGAUUAGCCAGUUGGCGGGGUAACGGCCCACCAAAGCGACGAUCGGUAGCCGGCCUGAGAGGGCGGACGGCCACAUUGGGACUGAGACACGGCCCAAACUCCUACGGAAGGCAGCAG